UCGAGAAUAUUCGACAAUGGGCGAAAGCCUGAUCGAGCGACGCCGCGUGCAGGAUGAAGGCCUUCGGGUCGUAAACUGCGGUAGCUAGGGAGGAACUUCGGUGACUGUACCUAGCGGAAAGAGGUGGGUAACUACGUGCCAGCACCAGCGGUAAUACGUAGACCUCAAGCGUUAUCCGGAUUUAUUGGGCGUAAAGCGUGUGUAGGAGGUUCUGUGCGUCUUUGGUUAAAGCCCACCGCCUAACGGUCGGAAAUGCCAAGGAAUACGGCAGGACGUAGAGGGGUUAGAGGGUGCGCGGAAUGCACGGUGUA
rnacentral:rRNA from 1 species